rnacentral:rRNA from 1 species
UACGAAGGGGGCUAGCGUUGUUCGGAAUUACUGGGCGUAAAGCGCGCGUAGGCGGCUAUGCAAGUCAGAGGUGAAAGGCCUGGGCUUAACCCGGGAGUGGCCUUUGAGACUGCGUGGCUUGAGAGUGGGAGAGGAUGGUGGAAUUCCCAGUGUAGAGGUGAAAUUCGUAGAUAUUGGGAAGAACACCGGUUGCGAAGGCGGCCAUCUGGCCCACCACUGACGCUGAAGCGCGAAAGCGUGGGGAGCAAACAGGAUUAGAUACCCUGGUAGUCCACGCCAUAAACGAUGAGUGCUAGUUGUUGGGGGGAAGACCCUCAGUGACGCCGCUAACGCAUUAAGCACUCCGCCUGGGGAGUACGGCCGCAAGGUUA